UACGUAGGGGGCGAGCGUUGUCCGGAUUUACUGGGCGUAAAACGCUUGUAGGCGGCCACGCCAAGUCGGACGUGAAAUCUCCCGGCUUAACUGGGAGGGGUCAUUGGAAACUGCCGAGCUUGAGGCGAUGAGAGGGGUGUAGAAUUCCCGGUGUAGUGGUGGAAUGCGUAGAUAUCGGGAGGAAUACCAAUGGCGAAGGCAGCUCGCUGGGACGGUACUGACGCUGAGGCGCGAAAGCGUGGGGAGCAAACAGG
rnacentral:rRNA from 1 species